ensembl:lncRNA
UAAUGAAAAAAACAGUGGAAAAAAUGCAUACAUGUGUGGAUUGUGAAUUGAUUCCUGCACAAAAAAUACUACACGUAUUGUGGACAUUGGUGCAAAUAAUAUAUUCCUUACAAUUACAGAUUGCCCUCACAAUCGGCUUGAAAUGUUCCCAGUCCGUGAAAUAAUAAAGACAAGGAAAAGAAAGGGGAGGACAGAACAUCUUUAUGACUGGCAGCCCUGCACAAUGUGUGGAAAGACCUGGCCUCCAUCCUGGCAGCCAGCCUGAUUCCCAUCCCAUGCAGCCUGCAAAUAUGCAACAUACAUUGCAAACAUACAUUUUUUCCUUGGUCUUGUUAAGUGUUUUUUCUUUACAUAUUUUUUGUUGUCCACUUGUAUUGUUCCAUAACAUUGUCAUGUUACAUCAGUUAAGCAGUUUGUAAUGUAAUUUGAACUUUAAUAUUCUUCAUGUUUUGUCUUCAAGCUUGUUACAAUCUCUUUUAUGUGUAUGGAUUCAAUAAAGGCCAACAGUCAACAAAACUUAACA